UUUUUUUUAUCUUGGCAAUACAUAAUUCGACGUCCAUGUUUUCUUUUAAAGACGACGUUUUAGAAAUUUUGUCUUCUGUCAUUAAAUUUAUUUCCGUCAUUCAAUCGAACUCUCAGAAAUUGUUGAAAUGGAAUAAAUACCGAAUUGCUUGCCUACAAAAACCAACGUAUCAUAUUCAAAGAUAAAUAGAUGGAAGGGUCAUCCACUGACCAGAGCUGUGAAGCUCUUGCAGAAGAAGCUUCAAAGAAAUACAGUAUCAAAAAUCUAUUAUUUUAUCGAGCAAUUCCCAACUAUCAGAUACCAGUGAAUACAAAUGGCUACAAUGUUUACAGUUGUAAAGAUUGUGGAGAUGGGUUCCUACUGGAAUCGAGCUACAGAAACCACAUUCAGAGAAAAUCCGUUCUGAUUAAUUAUCAAUGUCGCAUUUGUGUAAGCUCACGACGUCAUUUAAUAUUCUAUAAUCGAUGCAAUUUGUUGUCACAUAUAAGAUCUCAUACAGUGAAGACAGCAACUAUUAACGUCUCAGAUUUAUCGGUCGAUCCCCUGCCAUCAAAUUUUUUCAAAACCAAGAAAAAUAACACAAACCCCCCGAUGCCACCAGCUGUACAAAUUACUUCAGCACCUUCAGAUAAAUCACAAACAGAUAAUCAAAUGAAAAAGAUUUCUCAGAGUGGUACCAUUUGCAGUGAUUGUGGACAAAACAUAACUAUGACUACUGGCGUUUUAUAUAAAGACCGUGCCAGUCAUUAUAUGCAAUAUACAAAUCAGGUGUAUUCUUGUCCCAUUUGCUUAUUUAAUUUACCCACAGCUUGUGGACUUAAGGCUCAUUUACGUCUCCACCUCAAAAAGCCACCAUUUAUUUGUCCAGAGUGUGGCAUAGGAUUGAAUAAUAAAAGCGUAAUUUAUCCUUACAAUCAUGGGUGUGAAGGCUUUAAUAUGAUGAGAGCUACUGCUCGAUGUCAGUGCCCUGCUGAGAAAUGUAAAAUUUUUCAUCCCAAUUACUUUAAGAAUCAUAUGACAGCAAACCACUUUAAAGUAAUAUAUAAAUGCUCUAGUUGUGCAGUUGCUUGUUUCAGUGAGUCUACUAUUAUCAAACAUGCAGUAUCCCAAAAGCAUGACAUAAGCCCUAAUCGGUUUUAUCAAUGCGAUUUGUGCCCUGGAAGACUUGUUAUGGUAAAUCAAACUAAUAGACAUAUUAAGAGCCACAAUCAAACCACUAUCUACCCAUGUUGGACUAAAACUUGCAUGAAUAUUCACUUUAAAACAGUUAACGACCUCAUUAUCCAUUACAUCGACAGACAUUGUCAAAAUAACUGUGAACUCAGAAGAUUGUUACUCAGUAGUUUACCACCUGAAGAGGGUUCUCUGCAACAAGACACAAGAAUGUAUCGUAUUUUGAAAAGAUGUGAUCAGUGCAUGCGAAGUUUUACUUAUAAAUGCCAAUACGGAGUUAUAAAUGCUUUACCAAAUACAUGUCCAUUUAAAUGUGUAGCUGGUGCCAAGUCUUCAUCGAAUAAAGUAACGAUUAGAUGUCCAUUGUGUUCGAUGAAUAUUGACCAGUCUUGGGAAGUUAUAAAAGAUCAUUUUGCAUUACACCAUCAAGAACAUCGUUGUCUCGAUGCUAAAAUAUCAAUUACUAAAUUAUCAAAUGCUAAAAUAUCAGCUACACUGAAUAAAAAACAUCCUGUGGGUAAUAAAAAUAAGGUUAUUAACAGGGCUAUUAAUAAACGUUCCACUAGAAGAGCUAGACGAAAGGCCCCAAAAAGUCGGAUUGACGUUGGAACUAUUAUACUUAACGAAAUAACAGGUAGAUCGAAUAAUUACGUUUGUGGCAAAUGUCAACAUGAAAGUGAAACUAAAGAAUUGCUAGAAAAACACAUUUUAACCCACAGAGAUCAAUGUAUGGCAUAUCAGUGUAUGGAAUGUGGAGAAUGUUUUGUUGUGAAACAAUCAUUUUCAACUCAUUUACUUUUGAAUCAUGCCAUAUUCAACGUCGAGGAAUACAUAAAUAAAAAGAAAUGCUUUAACGAAAACGCUCUUACCAAAUGUGUCAAAACUGUUGUUGAAGAACCUCUCAAAGAAAACCAGUGCAAAAUUUGUAGAGAACAAUUCGAAUGUUCUGAAGAUUUGGAAAAGCACUUUAGAACUCAUGGCAUGGCUUUCUUGAUCAAAAACUCUUCUAGUAAAUCUAAUUCAUAAGUUAUAAGUAGGUAGGUAAUUCUAAAGAGCCUCUGACUGACAAUGUUACAUGUUUAGUACAUGCGUGGGUGGGACAUUAAAAUAGUUAAAUCGUUAUCUUGCGCUGGCACUCAUUGCUCGCGUUUCCUCUUUUGACCUUAGUUGAUUUUGAGUUUUUCACUAUCUUAAAAAAAUGCUUGAGUUUGUAGUUUAAUUGUAAGUAGGUAGUUUUAAAAAAUGACCAUUCACUUUUGCGACAUCCAUAAGAUUGUCAA